AGUUGAGUGGCUUUUCCUAUCAGAACAGCACAGAAGGAAAACGGCCCUAAGCAAACGGGGAGACUGCAAUGUGCCAUCCUAACAUAUGACUGUAGCAGACCAAAAUAUGCCACCCUAUCUAUGCCUUUGGAAAGAUCCUACCAGCAAUGAAUUCACAUUCCUCAUCAGCAUUAGGUGUUGUCAGUUAUUAUUAUUAUUAUUUUAUCCAUUCUAAUACAGGCAGAAAGAGAGAUCUUCUGGUUUGCUACUUAAGUGCAUAUACCAACUGCGGCGCAGCAGGCGAAAGCAAAGAGCUCAGAGCCGCCAUCCACUCCCUUCUAGGGUGCUCAUCAACAAGAAACAGAUUGGAGGAGACAGAGAUCAAAUCUUUCCUUUGGCCUUCUUCCUGGGUUCAUUUGUUUUUAAUGUGAUUAGCUAUUUUUCAAAAUUUAAUCAAUGUGAAUAAUACAAAGAACUACGUAGCACUCAGAAUAAAAAAUUACUAUUUUUCUUUUGAUUAAUGUAUUGAAAUAAAGAAAAUAUAAAAACCGCUGGAGUUCAUCUUGUUCCUCCUAAUUCUUCAUAGAUGAAAUCACUCAUGUGAAGAGGAUCCAGUCCUGUUUUUGAAAUAGAACGCAAUGUUCUUGGGUGUAAUUUUAAAAUAUAUUUGCGUAAACACGAUUCUGUGCUGCAAUUUUU